UGAAGGGAGACAGUAGCACUUGUUUGGCCGAGUGUUAAAUAAACGAUGCAAAAAGAAAGGCAAAACUACGUCGUAAACGAACGCAUUUGUGCGUGGCUACCAACACGUCAAUUCCUUUUUUUCAUUUCGAUUUCAAGUACUAAUCCGGCGAUACGGCAAAUGAAUCCCGGCUGAAAAAAAAACGAAGCAAAGAAGAUUCUACACUGACUGUCGCCGCCUCGAUAUGGGAAUGAUGGCAAUGAGUCGAAUCGCUUGGUACUCCUCGCGAAAAUGGUGACUAUGAUUUACGCUGACUAAACAAACAUUUGACUUCCGCUUUUUUCAUCCCAAGUCGGUACCAGUUCUUUUUAAAGCAUUUAAUAAUAGACUACAUGGACUUGGCGUAUCAUUGACGACCGUCAUUCGGUUCCGGUACACGGCUAUUGUAUGUGUCCACAAGAGUCUCAACCAGUUCAGAAAUAA